rnacentral:rRNA from 1 species
GUGGGGAAUAUUGUGCAAUGGGGGAAACCCUGACGCAGCGACGCCGCGUGAGCGAAGAAGGCCUUAGGGUUGUAAAGCUCUGUUUUAAGGGACGAAUGUCGUGGGGAGUAAUAUGCUCUGCGAAUGACGGUACCUUAAGAGGAAGCCCCGGCUAACUACGUGCCAGCAGCCGCGGUAAGACGUAGGGGGCGAGCGUUGUCCGGAAUUACUGGGCGUAAAGAGCACGUAGGCGGGAACUUAAGUCAGGUGUGAAAGACCGGGGCUCAACUCCGGGGUUGCACUUGAAACUGGGUUUCUUGAGGGCAGGAGAGGAAAGCAGAAUUCCUGGUGUAGCGGUGAAAUGCGUAGAAAUCAGGAGGAAUACCAGUGGCGAAGGCGGCUUUCUGGACUGACCCUGACGCUGAGGUGCGAAAGCGUGGGUAGCAAACAGGAUUAGAAACCCGUGUAGUCC